GGGGGCCUAAGGCGAGGACGAGAGUCGUAGCCGAUGGACAACAGGUGGAGAUUCCUGUACUGCGGUAUGACAGAACUGUGGGGACACGUAAGGAAAGCGGAAGCCGGGAAUGGAAAGCCCGGUGCAAGCGGGGUACCAGUCACUUUGGCAAAUCCGGGUGGCAAUGGGAAGCCGUGAUGCGGAGUGAAAUAAAGUAGCGAAGUCCGUGAGCCAUGCGUCAAGAAAAGCCGCUAUCGUUUAUACCGUACCGGUACCGUAAACCGACACAGGUGGAUGAGGAGAGAAUCCUAAGGCCGGCGGAAGAGGCAUUGUCAAGGAACUCGGCAAAAUGGCCCCGUAACUUAGGGAUAAGGGGUGCCUGGGAAACCAGGCCGCAGGGAAUAGGCUCAAGCGACUGUUUAGCAAAAACACAGGUCUAUGCGAAACCGAAAGGUGAGGUAUAUGGGCUGACGCCUGCCCGGUGCUGGAAGGUUAAGAGGAGAGGUUAGCGGUAACGCGAAGCUUUGAAUUUAAGCCCCAGUAAACGGCGGCCGUAACAAUAACGGUCCUAAGGUAGCGAAAUUCCUUGUUGGGUAAGUUCCGACCCGCACGAAAGGCGUAAUGAUUUGAGCGCUGUCUCGACAAUGCAUCCGGUGAAAUUGAAGUACCAGCGAAGAUGCUGGUUACCUGCGCCAGGACGGAAAGACCCCAUGGAGCUUUACUCCAGUCUGGUACUGGGACUCGGUAUUGCAUGUACAGGAUAGGUGGGAGGCUAGGAGAUGGUAACGCCAGUUGCCAUGGAGCCGCUGUUGGGAUACCACCCUUGCAGUAUUGGGUUUCUAACCAGCCGCCGUGACCCGGCGGUGGGACAAUGCCAGACGGGGAGUUUGACUGGGGCGGUCGCCUCCGAAAGGGUAUCGGAGGCGCCCAAAGGUUCCCUCAGAAUGGACGGAAACCAUUCGAAGAGUGCAAAGGCAGAAGGGAGCUUGACUGCGACACCGACGGGUGGAGCAGGUACGAAAGUAGGGCUUAGUGAUCCGGUGGUACUAAGUGGGAAUGCCAUCGCUCAACGGAUAAAAGCUACCCUGGGGAUAACAGGCUUAUCACUCCCAAGAGUUCACAUCGACGGAGUGGUUUGGCACCUCGAUGUCGGCUCAUCGCAUCCUGGGGCUGUAGUAGGUCCCAAGGGUUGGGCUGUUCCCCAUUAAAGCGGUACGCGAGCUGGGUUCAGAACGUCGUGAGACAGUUCGGUCCCUAUCCGGCGUGGGCGUAGGAUAUCUGAGAGGAGCUGUCCUUAGUACGAGAGGACCGGGAUGGGCGGGCCGCUGGUGCAUCGGUUAGACUGCCAAGUCUACGGCCGAGUAGCCAAGCCCGGAAGGGAUAAACGCUGAAGGCAUCUAAGCGUGAAGCCCCCCUUAAGAUGAGAUAUCCCAUUCGUUAAGAAGUAAACCCCCUUGAAGACGACGAGGUAGAUAGGGCAGAGGUGGAAGUGUAGCAAUGCAUGGAGCUGACUGUUACUAAUCGGGUGAGGGCUUGAUCA
rnacentral:rRNA from 1 species